GUCACCUUGUUCGGUCCCACCUUCCUUGACCGCUAUAUGGUGAUCGGGUAGAGAGUGUAACCAUCAGUCAACAUCGCCAAAUAGCCGUAACUACAUUGUUCAUCUUCUUCUUUGAUAACCUUUAAAACAUUGCUUACAGAUUAAGGUAGAGACCGAUAGCAACCACGUGAUCAGUAAAAAUCGUGUAUUUUCACGUGAAAUUAUUUUUCGGAAUUCCGUACAUCGCCAUAGAGUAGUUGAAAAACAAAAAGGGGUUCCGAAAGUACAAGUUGCUGUGACUGAAUCGAUGAUUGAGAGGGUCGUCUCGACGAAAUUUGGCCAUAGUUUAGAUUAGGAAUACGUCAAUGUAAUAAUAGUGGACUAAAUGUUUCGUCCGUGCAGAAUGGCACUUUUUACCUCACGAAAUUCACCACCAUGCAUAGCUGCGCUACGUAAACAAAGUUGUUGAUGUAGCGUGAUCGUGGUGUCCGAGUGCUGCGAGUUUCAAUACUGUUUAUGUAGUCAUUGAGAGUUUAAACAAAGUUUCUUCUGAGAAGAGGAAUUCGAUGGAUGCAUUCAACGUGGACAACGAAAUCAUAAUUUCGUUUGCAUCAUCCUAAGGACAAGUGCAAGUUGAAAUGGGCUUCCAGCCAACAACUUCAACAGCAAUUUGCCAUGAAAAUCAGCAAGAAAGGUACUUCAUUUACAUUGAUGAUGUCAUAUCCCCUGGACCCCACAACUUCAC